UCUAAAGUGUGUUUGAUAUUAAAUUUUUUAAUUGUAAAGAAUUAAUUCUUUUAAUUAUAACUUUAUUUUAUAACACAAUGUACAUUGUGAUUAUACAACUUUAUGGUAUUAUACUUAUAUCGUAAAAUAUACAAGAUAUAAUGAAAGGUUUAAUGGAAACUGAUGGAGUACUGGAGGGUAUGAAAUUUCAAUCUAUCUUUUUAAUACUAUUAAAAAUAUGCUUGUUUUAAAUUUUUUAUGUUGUAAAUUUGACAGAAGACAUUACACAAUAAUGAUAUAAAUGUUUCCUUUUCCAUUAUUAUUAUUUUUUAACGUCUAUAUAGUGUAGAAUUUUAUUAUAAAUAUAUCUAGAAAAUUUCUGCAUAGUUUUUAUUUUAACAGUUGACAGUUUGUUUGUAUGAUAAUAAUAAGAAAAAUACAUAUUAAUGCCUCAUAAAAAUGUAGUAGGUAUUGUUAUAUGUCACAGAUUUUAAAAAUAAUUGCAGUGUUCUUUUGUUUAAUAUUAAAUCUUUGUAUAACUGUAAUUAAAAAAAUUCUUUUAUAAAUUUUCAACUACUAAAACUAUAAAAUAUUUUAUAUUAAGAUAUAGCAAUGCCCUAUUAUUUCUAUGAAGUUGGCUACUUAAAAAACGCUUGUCUAAUUAACAAAUACUAGAAGUUUUAUGUAUUACACCAUUUUAAUUAAUGAGUACAAAUAGGAAAAUGUUUUGAGUAUUUUUUUUUUUUGUGUACUCUGAACUCCUAUAAGUUGGUAUAUUAAACGAUGUUUCCAAAAUAUAACUAAACAAAUUGCAAUUAUAGUGUCUUUUAUAUUUUGAAGUAUUUGUUUGCAUUAAACAACAUAAUAAAUCCUAGUGCGGCUUAUAUAGAUUCACUUGGCAAUGUAAUACAUUGCUAUUUAAAUAAUACAUUGUAUUUGUUGACAUCAUUCAAUGUUAUCUGAACUUACAAAACAUUCACUUAAAAUCUAUUAUGUCAUCAGAAUCAAUGAAUGUAAUAUAAAAUAAUAAUUUGUUAAAUAAAAUUAUCUUUCUACAAGCGAUCUUCUAGAAUCACCAGAAUGUCAACGCCGCGAACCCAAGUCAUUGGGGUAGAACCAUGAUCCAUUCAUUUUACAACCAGUAAUAUCCAAUUUUUGUGAUUAGUAAGUAUGAACAGUGACAUGGUCUUUAGGCUCUCAUAAGCAAAAAUCCUAACUAUGCCACUUAGCAUUACUAAACUAAAUUCUACAAUGCAUAGACUUUAAAAAAUAAUAAUAAUGGCAAAGGUAACAUUUAUAUCAUUAUUAUAAAAUGUCUUCCGUCAAAUGUACAACAUAAAAAACAAGCAUAUUUCCAAUAGUAUCCAAAAGAUGGAUCUCCAGUAUUCCAUCAGCUUCCAUUAAACCUUUCAUUAUGUCUUGUAUAUUUUACCAUCCAAGUAUAAUACGGUAAAGUUGUAUAAUCACAAUAAAUAUAGUGUUAUAAAAAGAAUUCAUUCGAGAAAAGUUGGAUUGAAGUUAAAUUAAAAAUAAACUAAGAAAAAUGAAUGUUGAAACUGAAACGCAUUCAACUAUUAUAUUGAUUAUAACUAAAUUAAAUCUUUAAUUAAACUAAGUUAAUUCUUAACAGUUAAAAUAGGUAAUAUCAAACACACUUUAGUUGUAUAAAGUUAAUGACAUUGAACAAUUAAGUUCAUAACACAUUUUUCGGUUUUAAAGUGAACUAAUAAAAUGUAAUUUAUCGCCAAAAAUCUAUAAGGUAUAGAAUUAAGUUUGUGAGUUUUUAAUUUAAGUAGGGACAAAGAAAAGACAAGAGACUGCCAAUAAAAAGCAAUUCAAGUAAAUUAAGUAGAUCAGUAACGUUUGUGUUAAACCAAUUAACUUGGUCCAAUCUCUGAAUGGGUUUUCUAUGUCGUCAUUAACCUUAAACACUCAUUUCCAUGAUAGCGAACUCAAUUGUAGUUCCUAUUCUACUCGAGGUAUUUAUUAACACAACUAUAUAGUUAAUCUUUUUGAAAAACUCUCAUAUUCACACCCUGAGAGAUAAUAACAUUUUAAACACUCACUCAAAACCCAAUACCAUUAUUUUAUGUCUUUCUUUUUGAAUUACUGUACAUUUUAAUGUUUAGGAAAAUAAUAUAUUUAAUAAUUAGAAUAUUAUGAUGUCACGCAGUUGUAUUUCAAAAUCAAUUACGACUUUUAUAGUUAUAGUUAUUUAUAGUUGAAGGGGUUAAAUUGUAUUAGUUUGAUAUCGUGGCUUACAACAUAUUUACAAAUUAUACGCGUUGGCGAUAAAUAAUUUCUAUAAAGUUAUGAAAAAAAUGAAUAUAAAUUGAAUUUGAUCAAAUAAAAUAUAAUAUUAUAGCUAUUUCUCUUAAUGUUUAAUUUUUUGGUACACAGAAGAAACGAAUUAAAAAUUACGGAGAACCUAAAAAUGAAGUCAUAGUAGAUUGGGUCAUGUGCCAAGUACCCUUACCAUCAAAAUAGUAUAAACUUCUCAGAGAGCUUUCCGUUGUAAUAAAUUCAAUUUGAGGCUUUCGUCUGUCAAUACUUAUAAAUAAUCGCAUGUAUUAUUUUUAUUUUUCUGUUUACACAGAGAAUGUGACAUGACGAUGGAAAAUUCUUUUGUGGAUUAAUUGUGUAUAAACAGUAAUAUAGCCAUCAUAAAAUCUAUGUCGAAGCGCAAACGCACACACUAAUGACGUCCCAGUGGGGUACUGCCACAUACUAGUACAGGACAGAAACUUAUGGUUUACAAUUUCUAUAGUGGUUUGCGAACAUGCACACUAGGGAAAAAAUCAUAAAAGUCAUCGUUGACCUAAAACGACAUCAAUAACCAGUGUUAUUUAGUAAUUAUAGAUAAUUGCAUCAUCAACGAAAAACAACUCGCUUCUAAAUGUAAGGGUCAUCAUAAAAUAACCAUCACAUGUCCGGAGCGAAUAACUAGAAAGACAAAAGAGAGAUUUUGUUAGCAAGGGCCGAAUAAUUUAAGAAAAUCUAUUUUUACAUUAAUUAUAAAAUCACGAAAAAUUCAAAUUAAUUGAAUUUAAAUAUUGUAAAUUUAGAUUUACUGCUUUAAUAACUUUUCAGUAACUCAUGUACAACAAUUAAAAUGAAAAUAUAACCAAUUUUUAGU